CAACGGCCCUCUUUAGGGCCACAUACUCUGCAUAAAACCUUUCU
rfam:Steinernema glaseri strain NC unplaced genomic scaffold GLAS_6449, whole genome shotgun sequence.